rnacentral:rRNA from 1 species
UGGGGAAUUUUGCGCAAUGGCCGCAAGGCUGACGCAGCAACGCCGCGUGGGUGAAGAAGGCCUUCGGGUCGUAAAGCCCUGUCAGGUGGGAAGAACGAUUCGGGGAGUAAUACGCCCCGGAUGUGACGGUACCACCAGAGGAAGCACCGGCUAACUCCGUGCCAGCAGCCGCGGUAAUACGGAGGGUGCAAGCGUUAUUCGGAAUUACUGGGCGUAAAGCGCGUGCAGGCGGGCGAGCAAGUCUGAUGUGAAAGCCCCGGGCUUAACCUGGGAAGGGCAUUGGAAACUGCUCGUCUUGAGUUCUGGAGAGGAAGGGGGAAUUCCCGGUGUAGAGGUGAAAUUCGUAGAGAUCGGGAGGAAUACCAGUGGCGAAGGCGCCCUUCUGGACGGCAACUGACGCUGAGACGCGAAAGCGUGGGGAGCAAACA